ACAGCAAUAAAAGUCCAUCAGAAUAAAAAAAUACUCCGUCAUCGUGGUGGUAGACAUUAAAGGACAACUACUCGAAUUAACACCAUUUUAGACAUUAACUCCCAGUGUUCACUUUUCACGGUGCUCAACCGUUUCCGUGUUUUCUCCGUCAAAUUCACCCAACCGUUACAUUUCAAAUACGUCCCAAACCGAACAUGGUGUCGUUUUCCGUGCUCUUUGAGGACAGGAGAAGAGGUUGGACGUCAGGUUGGACGAGUCUCCCAUAUUAAGACCGUGGGGAUGGAAAGACCAUAUUAAGACAACGCUGAGACGCCGAGUCCUCGGUGGAAGACUGACCUGUGGCGCAACUGUGUUUGCGGAAGAUAAAGAGUUCCAGGCAAAAACGAGCAAAAUAUUUAAACAGUUUCACAACAAGUUCUUCCACUGAUACGGUGUUUUUGUCCAAAACGUUGUAUCUGAAGAUGAAGUGAGGAGAGGAGACACAAACAGGGCCCUCAUACUAAUGUAGGACUGUCUUCAUCUAACAGGCUUAGAGCUAAAACUAUACAGGAACAUUACAUUCAAAUGUUUCAACUGUUGUCGAGUCUGUGUCUGAUUAUUACAGAUUAACAGCCUUAGUUUCUUCAUUUCACCUGAGUCUACCUGACCUUAUUUCCUAUUUGAUGACAGCCACCCCCCCUCUGGACCCCCCCCCCCCCACACACACACACACACACACUCUGGACAGAAUCAGCUGAAGUGAUGUGACUUAUUAAAUGAUUGAGAUUUGAGUGUUUACUGAAGAAAUGUUUAGAACACACAUCAAAAACACACGACUCGUUUGAUUUGAUCUUUUAAAAGACGAUUUUAUAGAAGCAAGAUAAUUAGCAGUAGCAGUAACAGAACAACAAAGAUGUUCAACAUCACACCUGAGGGGAGACAUUUAACAAAUAUAAAUAAUACUGUGGUAAGAAAGGCAAGACCUCAGGUGGUACAAUCACAAAGAUUAAAGUGCAUUUAAGAAAUG